rnacentral:rRNA from 1 species
UACGUAGGGGGCAAGCGUUGUCCGGAUUUAUUGGGCGUAAAGAGCUCGUAGGCGGCUUGUCGCGUCGACUGUGAAAACCCGUGGCUCAACCAUGUGGUCUGCAGUCGAUACGGGCAGGCUAGAAUUCGGUAGGGGAGACUGGAAUUCCUGGUGUAGCGGUGAAAUGCGCAGAUAUCAGGAGGAACACCGGUGGCGAAGGCGGGUCGCUGGGCCGAUAUUGACGCUGAGGAGCGAAAGCGUGGGGAGCGAACAGG